GGAUGAAGAACGCAGCGAAAUGCGAUAAGUAAUGUGAAUUGCAGAAUUCAGUGAAUCAUCGAAUCUUUGAACGCACAUUGCGCCCGCCAGUAUUCUGGCGGGCAUGCCUGUUCGAGCGUCAUUUCAACCAUCAAGCCCCCGGGCUUGUGUUGGGGACCUGCGGCUGCCGCAGGCCCUGAAAACCAGUGGCGGGCUCGCUAGUCACUCCGAGCGUAGUAGUUACAUCUCGCUCAGGGCGUGCUGCGGGUUCCGGCCGUUAAAAGCCUUUUACCCCAAGGUUGACCUCGGAUCAGGUAGGAAGACCCGCUGAACUUAAGCAUAUCAAUAAGCGGAGGA
rnacentral:misc_RNA from 1 species